UAAUUUAUUAUUUGCUUUUUGUUUAUUUUCUUCUCUUAUUUGUUUAUUUAGAUUUGGGUAUUUUCGAGGAAGGGUGAAAUUUUUAGUCCUGGAACAAGAUUUAUUCAAAUAGAAUGGAGUGGAUUAUAAAGAUGGGAAAAUAACAUUCUAUGUCUAUUUGGAGAAAAUAUUUACCCAAAAUGGUCCAUAUUUCUAAUAUUACCCGAAUUUGGUGUAUAAUGUUGUGUAUCAUGUGUAUAAACACUGUUGCAAAAAAAAAUGUUGGCUAUGCGGAUGUAAAUUAAAAAAUAUGGCUAUGUUGGAUGUAAUAUUUUAUGUUGGAUUGUUUAUCGUUGAAAUUAUUGAUCUAUCCAUAUGUGAAGCCGAAUUUAACUAGUUUGGGAGCGAGACAUAUUGGCCCUUUUUGCUAGGCAUUUUUAGUUGUAACAUAUUCUAUCGAUGAUUAAUCAACUCGAAAGCUUCUUCUGUAAUUUGCCUGAUUUACCGAUUAAAAAACUAAUCUUUGCACUUUUCCAAGCUUUGCUCCUGUUUGGCCAUAGAUUCUGAAUUUGAAACUUUAAACUUGAAAAUUUGAGUUUUUGAAGUUGUGAUUUUUAGAACUUAAAGUUGUGUUUGGACAUACAUUUUACUUGCAAAAAAAUUUGAAGUUUUGUAAGUGGAAGUGAAAUUUCUCCCAAAACAGACCAGUUUUUGGAAUUUGAAAGUAUUUUGAAGAUAAAUUUUCAUACGAUGAUCAAAUUUCAUUGCCAAACAUAUAUUUAAAGAUAAAUGAUUACAAUAUGAUCCAAAAUCUAUGACCAAACGCCAGCUAAGUUAUACAGAAGUUGACCAAAACAAAUCUUAGUUCAAUAUAAGGAUUAAGAAAGUCGUCAUUGUGAAUAAGGUACAAUUAAUCUUACCUGGGGAGACCUGUUAAAAUGUUGGGGACCUAGCUUGGGAUUUGUCUUUUGUGUUUGGCAGCAAUUCAUGAAUAUACUUAAGUUUUUUUUUAAUAGUUCCUGAGUAGGCUUGUGAUUAGGAGUGGCAAACGGACGGUUUAGAUCGGAUAUGGGCGGGUAAAUGGGUUUAAUUAAAACUGGAUAAAAUACCCGAUCCGCCCAUAAUUAAUAUGGAUAAUGAAUGGGGUAAUCGAUGGAUAAUAUGGACAUAUUGUCUAUGUUGCUCAGGCUCUUCAAAAAUGUCAACGGGUGCGUGUCGGAUUCUCCAAAAGUAGUGUAUUUUUGGAGAAUCCGACACGGGUACGGCAUCAAAAGUGAAGAGUCCGCGCAACUUAGCAUAUUAUCCAUGGUCAGAUGAGGAGAUGAGGACACAAGCUGAAAGCCAAAAUACGAAUAGAUUCCUAGAAAGCAAGAACUCAUGAAAAAUAACAAGCAGCCAAAUGGGUAUUGAUAAUGUGGAUAUCCAUUUUUAGUGGAUAAUAUGGAUAAUAUCCAUAUUUGAUCCAUUUUUAAAUGGUCAAUUAUCCAACCCAUAUUUAAUGAGUCAGUGUUUUUCUAAAACCAUUUUGCCAGCCCUACUUGUGAUGGUACGAAAUGCUAUUUUAGCAUAGCUGCAUCCAUGUUAUCUCCUGAAUUUCACAGCACUUGUUUGAUGCACGCAUGCCAAUGACAACUCUAUAGCCUUGAAAAGCCAAUGCUUUUGCAACAUAAUCUCAUUGACCAAGGCUAUUACUUCAUUUUACUUUAUAUCAUUAGGGUUGUGCGCAAUUUUACAUAAUUUAUGUUUACUAUGUUUGUGUUUGCCAAUUAUGAGUUGGGCGUUUUAUCACUUCAGCCAUGGAUGCUUAUCGUGGAACUGGAACCUGUACAUGGCGAAUAACUAAAUUUCAAUUGAAAUGAAGUCGUUAGGAUAAAUUGAUGCAAUUUAGAAGGAAUCAAUGAGAUGACAUCAAUUCAAAUCCUGGUUUUCCGAGGCAUAGAUGAAAAAUCCUUACAUUUCUUGGACUCAUGGACCGAAUUCAAUUUAGUGGAUACUUCAUUCACGUUUUUUUCUUCCACUUAGGCGUUUUCUAAAAUUCUUUGACCCUCGAAAUUGGAGUAUCCUACUUUCACGCUAUUCACCAAGCAAUGUUUCACGAUCAGGGAUGUAAUGUUUGUUUCGGUACCUUUCAUCUUCACUAUGAAGUGCAAGCUUGCCAAUGAUGACUUUGUAGGCUUGUAAUGAUUGUGAAGAAGAUGGAAAUCUAAAAUCAACAUAUACAAUGGACUUCGGCUACUUGGUUGUCUUCUUAGCUCUAAGUUAUCUUUGCUUUUAUUUUAUUAAGAAAGAUCACUUUUUUAAACUAUUCAUAUUGUUGCUAAUAUUUUUGCAGUGUGCUGGCUAGAGAGAAAGAUUUCCUUUCCUUCAAAUUAAGUUGUGACUUGUGUGUUCCUUUUUGUUUGUCACAUCUUGGAUUCUCAUACUAUAGUGUGUAAAGGAGACGAAGAAAAUCUUUUGGCUUAUAUAUGCUAUUGCAAACAAAUGAAAAGAUAAAAAAGAGUUUCGUGCAGCUUUAAUUAUUCAAAGCAUUCAGAAUCCAUUAAAUUAUUGUUGUAUUACUGGUGUAGCUUUGUAGACAAGUGAUAGCUUUCACGCUUAUGUUCUGACUGCUACCUUGUAGAUACCCUCGUUGGUAUAAGAUUGUUGACAAAGUUAAAGUGAUGCUGUUUGCCAGGAAUUAAUUUUUUAGGAGAGUUUGGAAUUACUUCUUCAUGUGACAGCUAUUAAAAAAACAAAAA